rnacentral:rRNA from 1 species
AACGAACGCUGGCGGCAUGCCUAACACAUGCAAGUCGAACGAGACCUUCGGGUCUAGUGGCGCACGGGUGAGUAACGCGUGGGAACCUGCCCUUAGGGUCGGAAUAACUCCCCGAAUGGGGUGCUAAUACCUGAUAAUGUCUUCGGACCAAAGAUUUUUCGACUGUGGAUGGGCCCGCGUUGGAUUAGCUAGUUGGUAGGGUAAAAGCCUACCAAGGCGACGAUCCAUAGCUGGUCUGAGAGGAUGAUCAGCCACACUGGGACUGAGACACGGCCCAGACUCCUACGGGAGGCAGCAGUGGGGAAUAUUGAACAAUGGGCGAAAGACUGAUACAGCAAUGCCGCGUGAGUGAUGAAGGCCUUAGGGUUGUAAAGCUCUUUUACCCGGGAUGAUAAUGACAGUACCGGGAGAAUAAGCCACGGCUAACUCCGUG